rnacentral:rRNA from 1 species
GUGGGUGAUCUGCCCUGAACUCUGGGAUAAGCCUGGGAAACUGGGUCUAAUACCGGAUAUGACCUUACAUCGCAUGGUGUUUGGUGGAAAGCUUUUGCGGUUCAGGAUGGGCCCGCGGCCUAUCAGCUUGUUGGUGGGGUAAUGGCCUACCAAGGCGACGACGGGUAGCCGACCUGAGAGGGUGAUCGGCCACACUGGGACUGAGACACGGCCCAGACUCCUACGGGAGGCAGCAGUGGGGAAUAUUGCACAAUGGGCGCAAGCCUGAUGCAGCGACGCCGCGUGAGGGAUGACGGCCUUCGGGUUGUAAACCUCUUUCACCAGGGACGAAGCGUGAGUGACGGUACCUGGAGAAGAAGCACCGGCCAACUACGUGCCAGCAGCCGCGGUAAUACGUAGGGUGCGAGCGUUGUCCGGAAUUACUGGGCGUAAAGAGCUCGUAGGCGGUUUGUCGCGUCGUCUGUGAAAUUCUGCAACUCAAUUGUAGGCGUGCAGGCGAUACGGGCAGACUUGAGUACUACAGGGGAGACUGGAAUUCCUGGUGUAGCGGUGAAAUGCGCAGAUAUCAGGAGGAACACCGGUGGCGAAGGCGGGUCUCUGGGUAGUAACUGACGCUGAGGAGCGAAAGCGUGGGUAGCGA